rnacentral:rRNA from 1 species
CAGUUUCUAUCCUCUUUUUGAAAUGAGCUAAUUUUGUACGAAAGGACUUUUUCGCUAAAGCAAUGCUUUGUCACAAAUCUGUGGUUGCAUAAAUAAUAGUGCAUAAUAGGUUGAUUAGCCUAUAGAAAGGGUUA